rnacentral:rRNA from 1 species
GACGAACGCUGGCGGCGUGCUUAACACAUGCAAGUCGAACGGAAAGGCCCUGCUGUUGUUGGGUGCUCGAGGGGCGAACGGGUGAGAAACAAGUGAGUUACCUGCCAUUGCCUGUGGGAUAACUUCAGGAAACUGGGGUUCAUACCGGGUAGGAUCUCUUGAUGCAUGGUGGGGGAAGGAAAGUUUCGGCGGUUGGGGAUGGACUGGCGGCUUAUCAGCUUGUUGGUGGGGUAGUGGCUUACCAAGGCUUUGGCGGGUGGCCGGCCGGAGGGGGUGACCGGCCACAUUGGAACGGAGAUCCGCCCCGACCCCCUACGGGAGGCAGAGGUGGGGAAUAUUGCACAAUGGGGGGAGGCCGGAGGAGGCAACGCCGCGGGCGGAAUGACGGCCUUCGGUUUGAAAACCGUUUUCGCAGGUGACGAAGCUUGAGUGACGGUAAUUGGAAAAGAAGCACCGGCUAACUACGUG